UUUGAAGCAUGUUCAUGAUUAAAUCUGUAUGCUGGCUUAUUUGAGUGACUGCUCUCUGAUUGCGCUUUCCUCACUCCUAGUUCUUCCUCUUUUUCUUAUUUUUUUUUCUUUUCUUUUUUCUUCCCUUUCCUUCCUUUCUUUUUGGUUUAGAGAAGCCCUUUCAAUAUUUCCUUUAACCUGGGUUUUGUGUUGCAGUAUUAUUUAAGUUUUUGUUUGUUGGGAAAAAUUUUUACUUCCCCUUCUAUUUUAAAUGAUAUUCUUGCUGGAUAGAGUAUUCUAGGUUGCAUAUUUUUUCCUUUUAGCACUUUAAAUAUCUCUUGCCAUUCCCUCCUGGCCUGUAGUGUUUCUGUAGAGAAAUCAGCUGAUAUUCUUAUGGGGGUUCCCUUGUAGGUAACAUUCUGUUUUUCUCUUGCUGCCUUUAGGAUCCUCUCUUUAUCACUAACUUUUGCCAUUUUUAUUAUGAUGUGUCUUGGUGUGGGUCUGUUUGGGUUCAGUUUGUUUGGGGCCCUCUGUGCUUCUUGUAUCUUGAAUCCAGUAUCCUUUAGAUUUGGGAAGUUUCCAGCGAUAAUUUCUUCAAAUAUAUUUUCCAUUCCCUUAUCUUUUUCUACUCCUUCUGGAAUUCCUAUUAUGCGUAGAUUGGCCCGCUUUAUAUUAUCCCAUAGGUCUCUUAUAUUGCUUUCCAGUUUUUUGAUUCGGUUUUCUGUCUGUUGACCAGAUUGAGUGAUUUCCAUUAUUCUAUCUUCCAUAUCACUGAUUCGUUCUUCUGCAUUAUUCAUUCUGGUUUUUACUGCCCCUAGUUCAGUUUGCAUCUCUGCAAAUGAAUGUUCUAGUUUUUCUUGGCUCCUCCUUAUAUUUUCUAGUUCCUUUCUGAGGGUAUCUGCAUUACUGUUCAUAUCUUCUCUUAAUUCCUUCAGUAUUUUCACUAUUUCUCUUUUGAACUCCAGGUCUGUCAGACUGCAGAGAUCUGUUUCAUUGUUGACUGUUUUAGGUGAGUUCUCCUGUUGGUUUGACUGGGGGUGGUUUCUCAGCUUCUUCAUCUUGCUUGUUGUUUUCUUUCUCCUGAGGGAGUUGUACUCUCCGUUAUCGGGCAGUGUUUGCCUUGUCACUGCCGUGGAAUAUUUCCUGAGGGCUGGCGUUGUUGGUCAAUCUUUUUUGAGGCAGUGUGGCUUUUCUGGAGUGUUGAUGGGGCUAACAGUGUUUCUUUGAAGCAAAGGAGGACUUCCUGAGGGCAGACAGGACUGGGAGGUCCACACCACGAUGGUAGCAGAUUUCACUUGGUCAUGCAGAGCUUGCUCUGUUGUUUUUAGGCUUUGGGGUUCUUGCAGGGGCUUGGCAGUGUUGGGCAGCUGUUCCUCAGGGGUGCAGCACCCUUUGCGGGCUGGAGCAGCUAUCUGGGUCACUGAGAACCUAAGAGGCUCUUCCCUAGGGCAGCCCAACUCAGAAGGACAGCCUGUGAAUGUAGGUGGAUGUUUUCACAGUCUGGCCAAGCUUGUUGCAGCUUUUCUGGGCUGCAGGGGCUCUUCCAGGGGGCUGGUGGUGCUGAGCAGCUAUUCCGCGGGAGUGGGGCACCCCCUGAGGGCUUUGGCGGGUAGCAGGGCCACUGGAAACCCAAGAGGCUCCUCCCCAGGGCAACUCAGAAAAACCGUUCGAGAAUUAGGCCGAUCUAUUCACGGCUUGGCUAGGCUUGUUCUAGCUUUUCUGGGCUGCAGGCCUUUUCUCGGGGGCUGGUGGUGUUUGGUGCUGCUCUGUGGAAGUGUAGCCCCUCCAAAGGGCAAGCAGGCCUGUGCAGGGACAGCCCCUGUGGUGGUAGGCUUCAGGCAAUUGUUGAGGCCAGCCCUCCUGGAUGGCAGGCAGCCCCAGGUUCGGCGAGAGCAUAGGGGGUGGCGGGGGUGGGGGGAGGGGAUGCACUGGGAAGCACAGCUUUCAGCUAGCUAGCGGGCCUGUAAGCUUGCUGUGGCGUGGGGGGUAUUCUAUGGGGACCCACCCCUUCUUCUCUCCCCUCCCCAGCACGGGCGCAGACCAGGCUCUUCUCCCAGGUUCCCUCUGAUGUGGCUUUCCACUUCUCCGCCCCUAGAGUAUUGUUCCCUUCGUCUGUGACAGCUUUGUUUUCUAGUCUCCCAGGCAGUCUCUGCCCCAUCAAAUGGUUUCUAGACCUCCCAAGCAGUUUCCGCUCCGCCCCGCCCCCCCCAGCCUGGGAACUAACCUCCAGGGCUGAGGUCUCGGUGCCCAGCCCCC
rnacentral:lncRNA from 1 species